rnacentral:rRNA from 1 species
AGGUCAAGCAAUAAGGGCACAGGGCGGAUGCCUUGGCACUAAGAGCCGAUGAAAGACGUGAUAAGCUGCGAAAAGCUUCGGGGAGGAGCAAAUAUCCCGUGAUCCGGAGAUGUCUGAAUGGGGAAACCCGCAUGAGAAGACCUCAUGCAUCCAUACGCCAAUCCAUAACGUAUGGAAGGGAACCCGGGGAACUGAAACAUCUAAGUACCCGGAGGAAAAGAAAGAAACAUCGAUUCCGUAAGUAGCGGCGAGCGAACGCGGAGGAGCCUAAACCGGUGUGCGUGCAUGCCGGGGUCAUGGACUGCAUUUAAGAUUCAGU